GGGAGCCCCGGCGGGGGCCGGCCCGUCCCGCUGUGCCCGCGGACGGAGCGCGCUCCGGGGAUGGAUUCGCGAGGGAGGCUGAGGGACGUUUGCGGAGCAGCCACGGAGAGCUGGGGGCGGCGAGGCCUCGGAGCAGCAGCUCUACGGGCAUCUUCGUACGGGAGCGCCUCCACACCUGUAAGAUUUCCCUGAUCCCCCUGCUCCCGGCUGGCAUCCCCUUUGGGCGCUGUGGACAGAUGCAGCCCUUCAGAUCUACUAUCAAAAGAGUGGUUAAAUCACAGUUUGUACCAGCAUCCCAGACAGUUGUUUGUUUCCCAGGAAAGCUUACUCUACCUACCGCAGGCUUUUGGCAGCUGAAGAAGUUUGGGGAAGCAGAGUAUUUGCUGAUAAAACUCACAGCAGUGGCAAACUGCUGUUGUGAAGGACAAAGGUUUGAGAUCUGUUCUUGUUCUCUCAUCUCCUGCUGAGCUGGGAGCUGUUAAAGUAAGCUUCUGUAUUUAUGUUACAUGACUGGUAUGACUGCACACACUAGAAGGAAAUUAAGACUUCAAAAAGACAUUCCUCAUCAUGGAUGUUCAGGGGUUAUAUGUGUAUUUUUAUAGAAAAGGGUCUAAUUUGCUACUUGCUUACUUUGUUAAAAAUCAAAGAAAAGCGUAGAUGGAGUGUAAGGAGUUAAAUUGUGUUUGCUGAGGAAAAUCAGGCCUGUCCUGUGAAGUGUCCAGGUGUGCUAGUGUUCUGAAACAGGAAAAUUGUCUGGAUAUUAAACAUAUGGAAAUAUGUGUGAAUGCAGCUAUCCUGAGAGAUUGAAGUUGCCUGCACACCUUGAACCCUCCCAAAAAGCAUGUCUUUGAAACUGAGGAUGGUUGCAGAGUGGCCAGUGUGGACAGCCACAAACACUUGCACACCAGCACAGUCCAUGUGAACCACGGCAGGGGAGGCAAAGCCAGACCUGAAAAUCUAUCUCAUCAGGUUACCUAAUUGCCAUCACUGUGACAGCCCUCCUGCGAUCCUGGAGACACAGUUUGGACCCUCUGGAAAAUUAUUGCGACAUGUAACAAUAAUCUGAGAGAUGAGCUGUGAUUGCAGUGGAUUCCUCAGGACAGAGACAGGAUUUUGAAGUGGCUUGUUUUUCCCUAAUGCCUGCGAGCCUUGCUGCUUUUCUGUAUUGCAGGGUCUCUUGGUGGGUUUUUGGAGUGUCUGGGGGCACACUGUGUUUGUCUUUAGUUUUUUGACUGACUUGAGCUUUGAUCUCCCUAACUUACUAAAUCCCUCUAUAUUAUGAAUUCCCAUUGUAUAAGGUAUGGAAAAUCACACUUAACUGCUUCUAAGCAGGGCAGAUAAAAAGAUGAUUCAGUGAUAUGAAGGUAAAAUAUAAAAAAAUAUGUGAAAUGCAGAUUGAUGCUAUUCCCAGUGUGCAUGCUGCUGGGUUUGUGAUUUUUUUUUUCCUGUUUAAGUUCACUUAUAAGGUGAAACUGUACCUGAGAGGCCACCAAAAAGUGUAUUUGUUCAUAUUCAGAGUAGGGUGUCUGAAUGGGGCUUGUUCCGGGUUCCCUUUUGUACAGCUCCCUGCAGGAUGAACCCCAGGUCAGAGCAGGGAUACCCAGCUCUGCUGCUUGUAAACAUGACACGUGCACCCCGUGAUACAGAGUAGAAGGAAAUAUUCAUUGUGCAAUCUGCAGGCAGCAUAAUCACUGUGAUCGCACUAACAUGAUGACUUGUUUAAUUUAUUUUAAGGCUGACACGCUUGCCUUGUUUUGCUGUGUGGGCCAAUGAUGUUUUAUCAUCUCAUGUGAACCCUGGGAGAACCAGGCAAUGAUCUUUUUUUAAAUCCAAGUGUGUCAAAUGCAUAACUGAAUAUAACAUUGAGCUGCUUUACCCAGACAGAGGAGCGAGUCUCAUGUUCAGUCAGUGCAGAAUCUAUUUAGUGUAAUCCCCUUGCUGAGAACUUCCACUUACAGCACUUUCUGAGGAAGAGGCCCAAAGCUUUAUGACGUGUAACAAUAACCUGGGACAGCUUGGCCUGGAAACGUCUUUCUAAUCCCCACAUCUUUUUGUCAGCUACUUUAUGCACUAAAAAGUGAAACCAUGAAUUCAUCUUACACUGAUGGGACAGUCAUACAGGGGUUAUGACUGAGGCCCUUUGCCUGCAAACUGACCACAUGUUUAACCAAGAGAACAAAGUCCCAUGAACUGUCCUGCACAAGGAGAUUUAACGCCACUCUGAAGGCAGGAAGUUCCUUGGUAUCCACAGGUACAGACCCAAUGGUCUGCUCUGUUUUGCUGUUCAGCUGGUACAGAUGGAAUGUCCUUAUCAGCCCAUAAUGUUUUUUUUAAUGCUCUGAAAGAAGCACAGAGGAAGUAAACAGUGUGAGUCCUCCUGUAGGUGUCUGAGCAAUUCAAGCUGCAAAGUGACACCACCAAUAUCAGAAGAUCGUUAAUAGGUUGCAAGGAAGGGUGUUUACCUUCUAUUAAGUUUUUCAUCCUUCCUGCAUUACACAAGAGGUUAACAAGUUACUACACCCAGUCCAAGGCACUGUUAGGAGCCACGUUCCACAUGACAAUGUCUCUGGGAGGGAGCAGGACAGAUUAUUGUGACAAAGGAAGCAAAGUCAGGUCAGUGAGCCUGAGAAAGUCUGAACAUUUCUCAUGUACUCAACCAUACCCUGGCAGGCACGAAUAAACUGAAACUUUCCAGGACACCUAAAAGACAACAGGAUGCAGGACUUCUGGGUUUUGGUUUUUAACUCACUAGUACUGAGAUAUAUACACUAAAAUCUAGGCAUUUCAAGUAAUAUGGAUUAAGAAAUGAAGAGCAGUAAGAUAGCAGGUUGAUUUUUAUGAGAUACAGUCAUUUUUUAGUUCAGAACUUCUGUAAAACAAGGUAUGAUCUUUGUAGCCAGAUUGGUUUGAAAUUUCCCAAGCUGUAAUCUAGACAGUGCCAUCACAGCUUCAAGAUUAAAACCUACACCUUUUAACUGUAAGCAGCUUUCCCUUCUCAAUACAAAGAAUUACGGCUGAUUCCAAGAAUUGAGGAGACUGAGACACACUUAUUUCCCUAUCCCAGUGAUUUUCUGUAUGUGCCAUCUUUAGUUGUUCUAUUUAGUAAAAAUAAGCCAUCCUAAUUCAGAGCACAUAUUUUGAUAUUAAUAUACAAAACAGUAAUUUCAGUUGCAUAUAUGGGAGGCAGAGCCUUUUGCCUUGGAGGUAGGCAGACUGCAGGAGUAAUGCAGACGUACAAAGUAAGGGUAGUAAGAUGACUCCUGUCAUACAUGUCACAGGCAUUUAUCCUUUUCCAGUCCUCACACUGUCCAGCAAACUGGUUCUGUGGAUCAUGUUUACACAACCCAGCCAGUUCUCCUACCUAAGCAGCAAAUUGUAACCUCCACGCCCACGCCUGGCUAUCAGCAUCAAUACAGUGGGGCAGACUUCAAGGAAAACAUGCGUUAACCACAUCUGUAUAUAACAGUUCUGGGUUUAAAUUGGUUCAUUCUAGUUCAUGUUUUAUCUCAUUUUACAACUCCGUAGAGCAGGAGCUCUGUCUUACGUUUCUGGGAUGCUGAACGGGACACUGGGCAGGCCUGGGGUCUUUGGCUGGAGUUACCACAUCAGUACUGAUCACUGAGUGUUCCUGUGCGUGCCAAGGCAGGACAGGACAGCCCAGAAGAAGAUACUACUUCCCUUUUCAGAGGGGCAAAGGAGGGAUGCAGCUCUCAGCAGCAGUCUUUUUCACCAAACACUCUUUGGAGCUUUGCUGACUCCAGUACUUAACAACUCUCGGUUUUCCUGCUUUUUUAAGUGAGUAGGUUGGCUGCCAUUCACAGAGACCAAUUACCAUUUCAAGAGCAACUUUUUGGCACCAGAACUAUUUAUAUGGAAAAUGGCCUGUCACAGUUUAACCCAAGCUGAACCCAAGCCAGCAGCUGAGUCCCACGUAGCUGUUCACUCACAUCCACUGGGAUGGGGAAAGAAGGAAAGGGUUCUGCUGCUUUAUAGCUUGAUGGCAUUGGGGUACACUGUGCACAGGUAUCUCCUAGAGCCUUACACUCCUGUGGGUCUGUCUGCCAGGACAUCUGAUCCACACAGUCCUGGAAACUCAGCUGUCCCUCCCCUCCACCUGGCUGGAGGCAGGGCCCCUCCAGUACUGGUUUUAGGAUUCUCUACUUCUUGUAAAAACGGAUAAGAAUUUCUUUCCAUAGGAUCAGGAGUAAGAUUAGCCCUUCCUCUCUGUCUUGGAACUGCCCACUGGACACUGGAGCAGCAACUUUCCUGGAAGAACCUCCAUUAUGAUUGUUCCUCUCUGAUUCACAGCCAGCAAUUCUAUCAUAUCCUAAGCCAGUGUUACAAAGUACAACAGAAUCAACCUUAGCCCAGCCCCCAGAGGUGAUAAACAGCACAAAGGGAACACACACACCAAGUAAGGCAAUGACGCAAACCUGAGAACAAGAGCAACAACUCUGAGAACAAACAAAUCAACGCUGUGACCAGUGACUAUUAAAUUAAUAUCGUGAAUGCUUGCAAUAAAUUCGUUUUACACGCUGUGGUCA